GUGUCAGCCGCCGCGGUAAAACCAGCACCUCAAGUGGUCAGGAGGAUUAUUGGGCCUAAAGCAUCCGUAGCCUGCUCUGUAAGUUUUCGGUUAAAUCUAUAUGCUCAACAUAUAGGCUGCCGGAAAUACUGCAGAGCUAGGAAGUGGGAGAGGUAGACGGUACCCCGUAGGAAGGGGUAAAAUCCUUUGAUCUAUGGAUGACCACCAGUGGCGAAGGCGGUCUACCAGAACACGUUCGACGGUGAGGGAUGAAAGCUGGGGGAGCAAACCGGAUUAGAUACCCGGGUAGUCCCAGCUGUAAACUAUGCAAACUCGGUGAUGCAUUGGCUUGUGGCCAGUGCAGUGCCGCAGGGAAGCCGUUAAGUUUGCCGCCUGGGAAGUACGUACGCAAGUAUGAAACUUAAAGGAAUUGGCGGGGGAGCACCACAAGGGGUGAAGCCUGCGGUUCAAUUGGAGUCAACGCCAGAAAUCUUACCCGGAGAGACAGCAGAAUGAAGGUCAAGCUGAAGACUUUACCAGACAAGCUGAGAAGUGGUGCAUGGCCGUCGCCAGCUCGUGCCGUGAGAUGUCCUGUUAAGUCAGGUAACGAGCGAGAUCCUUGCCACUAGUUGCCACCAUUACUCUCAGGAGUAGUGGGGCGAAUUAGCGGGACUGCCGUAGUUAAUACGGAGGAAGGAGAGGGCCACGGCAGGUCAGUAUGCCCUGAAACUCUGGGGCCACACGCGGGCUGCAAUGAUAGUGACAAUGUGUUCCGAAUCCGAGAGGAGGAGGUAAUCCUCAAACGCUAUCACAGUUAUGACUGAGGGCUGCAACUCGCCCUCACGAAUAUGGAAUCCCUAGUAACUGCGUGUCAUUACCGCGCGGUGAAUACGUCCCUGCUCCUUGCACACACUGCCCGUC
rnacentral:rRNA from 1 species